CAGUAGCCGCGGUAAUACGAGGGGGGCAAGCGUUGUUCGGAUUUAUUGGGCGUAAAGGGUGCGUAGGCGGUUUGGCAAGUCUUGUGUGAAAUCUUCGGGCUCAACCCGAAGCCUGCACGAGAAACUACCGGGCUUGAGUAUUGGAGAGGUGAGUGGAAUUUCCGGUGUAGCGGUGAAAUGCGUAGAUAUCGGAAGGAACACCUGUGGCGAAAGCGGCUCACUGGACAAUAACUGACGCUGAUGCACGAAAGCUAGGGGAGCAAACAGGAUUAGAUACCCGAGUAGUCCCUGUCUCUUAUAC
rnacentral:rRNA from 1 species